UUUUGUUGUAAGUGUUGUUGAACAGGAAAAAUAAAAACUCGAGGCCCCUGGUGGUAUUUUUAGUCCCGUAUCGGUGACUCGCUCAAAAGCCUCAGCAGGACUGUAAAAUAAAAUUAAUCUGCAUCUGCCGUGCGUCACUUUUACAAAGCUCCUCUCCUUCUGCUACUGCGGGGAUGGUUUGCAACCCUGGGCUUGGGAGAGCGCCAAGUACCUGCCAGGCAGCCCCAGAACAGCAGACAGCAGUGGGGAACCAGCAGGGACGGGGGUGAGGGGCGGGCAGAGGGAAGGAAAUUGGAUUCUCCUGGAGUUUGUGGGAAGCUGAGCCCGAUCCGCCUGCUCAGUGAUUUCACAGAACCUGUGCCUUGCCUCGUUGCUGAGGGAUCUAGGGGGAAGGCUUUGUGGGAUACACGAUCCAGCCUCGUGGCUCAUCCCGGAGCUGAAAGCUGCUGUGAUGCUCCCAGGAAUGAGGUAUUUCUGGUGGAGGAAAUGGUUUGCUGGCUGCACCAGGCUUUUCCUGAGGGGUUGGUAAUGUUUUCCAAGAGUUGGUGUGGGAUGGCUCUGCAGGAGAUGCUGGGUGAGGAACAGCCCAGAAAACAACCUCAGUCUCUCCAUCCAUCAUCCUGGAUGUAAACAUCCAUCUGAUUCCUCCCUGUGUGUCCUGGGAGCUGUGGUUUCCCUUUGCAGUCCCCAGGGGAGGUGUCUGCAGGGGAUGGGGAGCAGGGGGAAUGUGCAGGGCUCUCCAAAGGUCAGCGAUGAAGGACUGACAGAGCACGGACACUUCUCCCUCCUUGGUGAUGCUCAGGGUGGAAUCACGGGAUUGUUAAGGUUGGAAGAGGUCUCCAAACCCAUGGAGUCCAAGCAUUAACCCAGCACUGCCUGCUCACCACUCACCCAUGUCCCUCAGCACAUUUUUGGAGCUCUUGCAGAGAUGGUGAUUCCCAUGCCUGACAACACUUUCCAUGAAGAAAUUGUUCCUAGUAUUGAAAUAAACUUUCCCUGGUGCAACUUGGAGCCUUUUCC
rnacentral:lncRNA from 1 species